AAAUAGUAACCAAACCCUAUAGGGUUUGAACCGAGUUUGAGUCUAGUUUGAUUUCAGUCGAGGACGUUGUUCUUCGUUUUCGGUUUGAGGUUCGAGUUUCAAUUCUGUCAUAUACGUGUGUUUGAGCUAAUUGAGUGUUUGAUUUUAUUUGGAUAUUAAAGGUUGUUUUUGUUCAUAUCACAGCAGAAUGUUUGAACUAUUUGCUUCCAUUUGUUCAUGUCAUUUGUUUGAUUGAAAUAAUUUUCUCUAUUUUUGGCAUUGUGGCCCUUAUUAUUUGUAUCUAAUUUGCUAUGAAAUUUCUAGUGGGAUUAAAAACCAAUCUGGUAGUAAGCUAAUUAAGAAGAAAUAGUAGAACUAGUGUUGUUAAUAAAACAAGAGAUGAAAACGGAAGUGGUGUUAGUGUUUCUCCUGUCCAAAAUUACAUGAGGUUAUUGAUAGUAAGAUCAGAUCAAGAAGGGUGUUUUCUGUCAAAUUUGGAAAAUUGAAGAACACAAAUAAUGGUAUUUUGAAAUUGGGAAAAGGAAAAUCAGAAGUAACAUAGGUAAGGUUGAGGAAAUUGAUUAGAAUAUAGGAUGCCCAUGCCUUUUGAAUUAAAUAAUGGAAAAGGGGUAAAUAGUGGAACCAACAUUCAUUAGUGGGAAAAUGUAUAUAAUAUGGGGUAAUAAUUAAAAAAAAAAGCUAAAAAGGAGUGUACAUGGGUCAGUGCGGAACAAGACAUAAGGAUAAAAAAAGAAGCUGAAAAGUAAAAAGGAGUAGGGGUAAUGAUAAAAGUUUUUCUUUCACAACUGUAAAAGAAAAAAAGAAGGGUUGAAUGGGGUGAAAGUUUGGGUUUAAAUAUAAAAAUUAAAAGAGUCAUUAAGAGGAGGAACAAAGAAAAACAGAGGAUAAGAGAAAGAAUUGAGAGUUAAAAAAUUAGAGAGCUGAAAACCCCCACUGUUUAUUUGAAGUUUCUCUUUUUGCUUCAUUGAUUUCAUUUCUCUUGAUUCAAAUACACUAAGACCGAUAUUAAGUAACUCUAGUAUAUCUUUGAGUUCAUUUGGCUUGUGUUAAUAUUGUUGUGGGUUAAGAUCCAUUUCCGAUGGUAUUUUCUAGUUUGAUUUUACUGGGUUUCUUAUCUGUUGCUGUUGGCAUUUCUGGGAUUCUACAGGUUUUUGAUCUGUUACUGCUAUGCUACUUACUGUUGUUGUUGUAUUGUUACUACUGCUGCUGAUUCUCGUCUUCCUCUUCUCUUGUUUCCAAUACCAGGUACACAACUUAGCUCAAUUUGAUGUAGCCGUCAGAUGUAAACAUGAAAUGAAAAUGCUCGGGCACUUAAUUAUUGGAUGUUGUUUAAUCGUUGAAUUUUAGUUUUGUAUUUAUAUUAUUAUUAUUAUUAUUAUUAUUUUGAUUUGGCAUGAUAAAUGGAAGCUUUGUUUGGAGGUUUCUAAUAAAGUGCAAAGGGAGUAGCUAGAAUCUUUGUAAUCCUCGUUUGAUAUCUUGGAUUAGCAUUUUGAAAUAUUAAUUUUAAAGUGGGGACAGUAGUUUGCUCUUAAAAAAUUCAC
rnacentral:lncRNA from 1 species